AUGGACAGGCAAGCAGCAUAUGAAUUAUUUACCGUCUUCUUAAGGAAGCGGCAGUUUAAGGGAAUAGAUUUAGAUAAGGAUCUCCCUGUGUUGUUAAGUCAUGCAGUUUCUUUUGGGUUGUUUACGAAUCCCCAUUCAGUACAUACUUUGGAAGAGUGGAGACGUUAUGGGGAUAAGUUGUGGGAGUUAGUCUUGGAGGAAGAUAAGCCAGCAAAAAAGAUGAGUAAGUUGUGGAAGGCUGUGCAUAACAAGUUAUUGAUGUCUCAAGCUGAAAGGAGGGCAGCGCAGGGUGCUCAGGCAGCGCAGCAGCAAAACAAUGAGUAUGGUCUUGGUCACUACGCCCCCCCUCCUCCUUCCUCCACAGUGCUAACUAUACCACCAUCCGCACCUGGGCCCUCGGCACCCCCAGACGAGCCCACGGACGCUGGCAGUUCCGUGUCCGCCACGGGUGGGGAACCUUCUGAUCCCGUCCCGGGGGCUGAGUCAGACCUCGCAGAGGCUAUAGUUCGGGGAAGGCGGGAGAUGUGGUCCAUGUUAGCCAAACAGGGAAUGGAGGAAGGCGAUGCCGACCUCUUACAGGCGGCAAUGGAGCAGCUACCGUUCCCGGGGGUGUAUGCACCUUUGCCACAAGGAGGAAUGCAGGCUGAGAUUCGGAAUCUGGAUUGGAAGAUGUUGUCUCAGUUGCAAGCCACAGUGGGGUCCUACAGGGUGACGAGUGAGCCAGUUAAACAAAUGCUAGACUACAUCUUUAGUGCAAAUACUCUCCUGCCUGCAGAUAUUAAGGCGGUAACUAGACUAAUAUAUACCCCCCAUCAGCUGCUCUUGUUUAACGCCCACUGGCAGCAUGAGGCUACAAUAUCCGCCACAGUGCAAAGGGGUCCUGGGGAUCCGCUAGCAGGGGUCACAGUGGAUCAUUUGAUGGGUCUUGGUCAAUGGGUACAGGCGGAGGCGCAGGCCCUGAUAUUUGUCGGGAAAGUAUGGAUACAGCCAGGAGAGCCAUGA
rnacentral:lncRNA from 1 species